CGCGUGCGUAUGCCGAAUCCCGUGAGGGAACCGGGGAACCACCAUCUUGGGGUGAAUCGAGCGGAUGCCGCCGUGGAGGCACGGCCGGUAUACGCGCGUAGGAGACCUUCCUGCUCCGAACCCGUCAGCUAACCCGGUAGGCGAGACGGAAGGAAAGG
rnacentral:sRNA from 2 species